UGUAUUUUCAAUUUGAAUUGGUCGCCGUUUGAUUUGGCGGUUUACUUGCAUGCUGUUGCUUGUGACUCACGCUCAACCUUUUCUAUUAAACGCUACAGUUUCCAGUUUUUGCUUCACUUUGAUGAGAAUCCUGUGACCAUUUAAUUAGCGACUACAAUUAUAAUUGAUAUUUUUGUGUGUUCACUGUUAAUUGACAGCCAAGUUAACACCGCCUUCAUCAUUUUGUCACAAUUGUAUGCCUUUAAUUGUAAUAAGGCAUCAAUAAUGGUUAGACAUGUUAUACUGAAGUAAUCAGUCUUACAUUGCCAGGAUAACCUGAUGAUAAACUUAAUGAUUGGACAACAAGCCAAAUGUAAUGGAUAAAUGUUUUACCGAAUCAUCAACCACCGAUGGAAACCUGUUAUCAUCAAAUGUAAACAGUGAAAUCAUCCGAUAGUUUCACUUGUUAAUCAUGCUAAUCAGUUUGAUUUGCUGUUAUGAUACAAUUCAAUUUCCAGACUCCAAAUUGACAAAAAUUGGUAUAAUAAGCUGCAGUUGAAGCUAGAAGGUCAGACAGUUUGGUAUUGAAUUUUGGUCGAGGAAAACAAGAAAACCAAUCAGGAUCCCAAUCGACGAUAACCGUGAUUAAAUCCAUGACAUUUGAUCAUCUGUAAUGGUGCUUGAUCAAGAAAUCAUCAAAUGUCACUUAGGAAAAAAAGCAAAGGCAAAAAGGUUAAUCUUGGUCCGUUAAACCGCUAAUCAACCAACAAUACGUAGUCUCUCAUCAUUUGCUGAUUGUAAUUUUAUAUGAUUCACAUAAACUAAAGAGACGGAUCAAUAUUCAUUACAAGAUUAAUCAAUUAAUGGUAAAGGAAGGCAAAGAAGCGCAUAAUGAAACAAUGAAAGCAAGCAAGAAGGCAAUUAAAAUUAAUGGCUAUCCAAAUAAAGGGAACACCUUGAGGUGAACACAAAACGAUGAUGAUUUACAUUGUUUAAGCAAAUAGGAACAAUAAAUCUAAAUUGUCAAAUAAUGUAAAUUACAAUAGUGUAACAUAUGUAAAUUGUGUACCGUGCAAUAGCAAUUAAUUGUUAAUUGAUCAGCUGAGACACAAUGUACACAUAUGCAUGUAAUACCGAUUGUAUUGAAUAUUGAAGGAUGAAACAUGAAGAAAUGAAAAAAAAUAUAUAAUACUGACUGAUAAUGUUCAUUACUUUUGACCCUGACAUGAAACAAAAUCUUUCCUCAUCAAAUUCUUCUUCUUCUUACCUUUUUCCUUCAUCCCAAUUCUCAUAAGGUUAACCAUAAGAGGCUAACUUUUUCCCUUGACCAAUUAUAUCAAGAGCAUAGGUCAUUCAUGAUGAUAUUGUUGACGAUCAUGAUCAUUGUAACAUUCAUUGUAACCACAAGAGUCAAUCUUGAGCCUGAAAAAAAACAUUCAUUUUCAAAUGUGAAUUACAUUGUUUCACUUGCUUUUACCUUUAAUGGAAACAAUAUAAUCAAGGACAAUUAAAGACAAUUCCUGAGAAAAGUUAA